rnacentral:rRNA from 1 species
AUUGAACGCUGGCGGCAGGCCUAACACAUGCAAGUCGAACGAGUGGCGGACGGGUGAGUAAUGCCUGGGAAACUACCCUAUGGAGGGGGAUAACUACUGGAAACUGUAGCUAAUACCGCAUACCAUAGGAUGUGCCCAAGGGGGAUUAGGUAGUUGGGGGGGUAAAGGCUCACCAAGGCGACGAUCCCUAGCUGGUCUGAGAGGAUGACCAGCCACACUGGGACUGAGACACGGCCCAGACUCCUACGGGAGGCAGCAGUGGGGAAUGUUGCACAAUGGGCGCAAGCCUGACGCAGCCAUGCCGCGUGAAUGAAGAAGGCCUUCGGGUUGUAAAGUACUUUCGGUGGCGAGGCGUUAACUGCAGAAGAAGCACCGGCUAACUCCGUGCCAGCCGCCGCGGUAAUUC